CCUACGGGAGGCAGCAGUGAGGAAUAUUGGACAAUGGGCGCAAGCCUGAUCCAGCCAUGCCGCGUGCAGGAAGAAGCAUCUAUGGUGUGUAAACUGCUUUUGUACAGGAAGAAACACUCCCUCGUGAGGGAGCUUGACGGUACUGUAAGAAUAAGGACCGGCUAACUCCGUGCCAGCAGCCGCGGUAAUACGGAGGGUCCGAGCGUUAUCCGGAAUCAUUGGGUUUAAAGGGUCCGUAGGCGGUUUAAUAAGUCAGUGGUGAAAUCUGGUCGCUCAACGAUCAAACGGCCAUUGAUACUGUUAGACUUGAAUUAUAAGGAAGUAACUAGAAUAUGUAGUGUAGCGGUGAAAUGCUUAGAUAUUACAUGGAAUACCAAUUGCGAAGGCAGGUUACUACUUAUGGAUUGACGCUGAUGGACGAAAGCGUGGGGAGCGAACAGGAUUAGAUACCCUGGUAGUCCACGCCGUAAACGAUGGAUACUAGCUGUUCGGAGCAAUCUGAGUGGCUAAGCGAAAGUGAUAAGUAUCCCACCUGGGGAGUACGUUCGCAGAAUGAACUUAAAUGAAUUGACGG
rnacentral:rRNA from 1 species